GUUGGAGGAACUAAAAGCACAAUCAGCUUGAUGUUGAGGAGAAGGGCUGUGCAGCAGAGAGGCUGUUUAGUUUCUUCAUUCUACUGCAGUGGAAGAACAUUGUUCAUCUGCUGUCUGUUUGGCUUCAACUCCUCCAAAGACAUGUUGCUUUACCUCUUUUGGUUUUUCUCUCACUUCAUAGCCAUGGGCUCCAUGAACAGCAUAAAGCCAGAAAGUCCUGAAGAAGUUGUUGAAGAGAGAACAACCAUCAACCUGACCUGUAAAUAUGAGGGUGCUAUCAACAAUAUCCAGUGGUACCAACAAUACCAGAGAUCCAGACCAGAGUUCCUGCUCUACAUCACAGAGGGAGGAUUGAUUCAUCCAACUCUUUCUGAUUUCACAGCUCACAUUAACAAGACAGAGAAACGUGUAGAUCUGGAGAUCAUCUCAGCUAAAGUGACUGACUCUGCUGUGUACUACUGUGCUCUGAGGCCCACAGUGACAGGAAACACCAAAACUCUGUACAAAAACCUUUGGAGCAAAGACAACACAAUACUCCACAACAUCCAGGUCCAAUCAUAG